ACACUGGGACGACACUCAGUGAUCAGUCACUUUAUGGGCUUGAUGUAAUCUAAUUGAUUCAGAAUUACUCUAAAUUUCAAAAAGGUUAUACCCAGUGGAUAAUCAGUGAAAAGGGUUACUUCCAAUUCAAUUUAAAUUGAUACCCCAUAUGGUGAAAUUUGGUCCGAUACUAUAUUAAGCAUUGUUAAAUUGCCUUUUUGAAGACACGAUAAGAUGUAUGUCCAUAUUGUGAUUCUUUGGUAUGUAUUCAAUAAGCUUUUGAAGAGAGUUAAUUGUAUUAUAACUAGAAGAGUGAAGUUGUUUAUGAAUGUUUCUGUAUUGUUUAGA